rnacentral:rRNA from 1 species
UACGGGGGGAGCAAGCGUUGUUCGGAUUUACUGGGCGUAAAGGGCGCGUAGGCGGCCUGCUAAGUCGAACGUGAAAUCCCCGAGCUCAACUCGGGAACUGCGUCCGAUACUGGCAGGCUUGAAUCCGGGAGAGGGAUGCGGAAUUCCAGGUGUAGCGGUGAAAUGCGUAGAUAUCUGGAGGAACACCGGUGGCGAAGGCGGCAUCCUGGACCGGCAUUGACGCUGAGGCGCGAAAGCCAGGGGAGCAAACGGG